rnacentral:tRNA from 1 species
GGGCGUGUACCCAAGUGGCCAAAGGGGGCAGACUGUAAAUCUGCUGGCAUCGCCUUCGGAGGUUCGAAUCCUCCCGCGCCCA